rnacentral:rRNA from 1 species
GACGAACGCUGGCGGCGUGCUUAACACAUGCAAGUCGAACGGAAAGGCCCUGCUUUUGUGGGGUGCUCGAGUGGCGAACGGGUGAGUAACACGUGAGUAACCUGCCCUUGACUUUGGGAUAACUUCAGGAAACUGGGGCUAAUACCGGAUAGGAGCUCCUGCUGCAUGGUGGGGGUUGGAAAGUUUCGGCGGUUGGGGAUGGACUCGCGGCUUAUCAGCUUGUUGGUGGGGUAGUGGCUUACCAAGGCUUUGACGGGUAGCCGGCCUGAGAGGGUGACCGGCCACAUUGGGACUGAGAUACGGACCAGACUCCUACGGGAGGCAGCAGUGGGGAAUAUUGCACAAUGGGCGGAAGCCUGAUGAAGCAACGCCGCGUGCGGGAUGACGGCCUGCGGGGUGUAAACCGCUUUCGCCUGUGACGAAGCGUGAGUGACGGUAAUGGGUAAAGAAGCACCGGCUAACUACGUG